rnacentral:rRNA from 1 species
AAUGAACGCUGGCGGCGCGCCUAAUACAUGCAAGUCGAGCGAGAAGACGUAGCAAUACGCUUGUAAAGCGGCGAACGGGUGAGGAAUACAUGGGUAACCUACCCUCGAGUGGGGAAUAACUAGCCGAAAGGUUAGCUAAUACCGCGUACGCUCCUUGGACUUCGGUUCAGGGAGGAAAGCGAUACCGUGGGUAUCGCGCUCUUGGUUGGGCUCAUGUCCUAUCAGCUUGUUGGNGAGGUAACGGCUCACCAAGGCUUCGACGGGUAGCUGGUCUGAGAGGACGAUCAGCCACACUGGCACUGCGACACGGGCCAGACUCCUACGGGAGGCAGCAGUAAGGAAUAUUGCGCAAUGGGCGAAAGCCUGGCGCAGCGACGCCGCGUGGGGGAUGAAGGUCUUCGGAUUGUAAACCCCUUUCGGGAGGGAAGAUGGAACGAGCAAUCGUUCGGACGGUACCUCCA